rnacentral:miRNA from 14 species
GGAUGCCAGUUAUAUUUGAAUUUCAGAUAAAUAGUGAAUACUUUUUAAAAUAUACAUAUGUCCAUGCAAUAUCUGGGACAUACUUAUACUAAAAAAGAAUUUAUUUAUCUGAAAUUCAAAUUUCAUUGAGGGUC